UACGUAGGGGGCUAGCGUUGUCCGGAUUUAUUGGGCGUAAAGAGCGUGUAGGCGGCCUGGUAGGUCUGCUGUGAAAACUCGAGGCUCAACCUCGAGAUGUCGGCGGAAACCAUCUGGCUAGAGUCCGGAAGAGGAGAGUGGAAUUCCUGGUGUAGCGGUGAAAUGCGCAGAUAUCAGGAAGAACACCCGUGGCGAAGGCGGUUCUCUGGGACGGUACUGACGCUGAGACGCGAAAGCGUGGGGAGCGAACAGG
rnacentral:rRNA from 1 species